AGAGUUUGAUCCUGGCUCAGGAUGAACGCUAGCUACAGGCUUAACACAUGCAAGUCGAGGGGCAGCGAUGAAGAAAGCUUGCUUUCUUCAGGCGGCGACCGGCGCACGGGUGAGUAACGCGUAUCGAACCUGCCUCAUACUCGGGAAUAGCCUUGCGAAAGUAAGAUUAAUGCCCGAUGUUAUUAGGAUAUCACAUGAUGUUUUAAUUAAAGAUUUAUCGGUAUGAGAUGGCGAUGCGUCCCAUUAGUUUGUUGGCGGGGUAACGGCCCACCAAGACAUCGAUGGGUAGGGGUUCUGAGAGGAAGGUCCCCCACAUUGGAACUGAGACACGGUCCAAACUCCUACGGGAGGCAGCAGUGAGGAAUAUUGGUCAAUGGACGCAAGUCUGAACCAGCCAAGUAGCGUGCAGGAUGACGGCCCUCUGGGUUGUAAACUGCUUUUAGUUGGGAAUAAAGUGCACCACGUGUGGUGUUUUGUAUGUACCAUCAGAAAAAGGACCGGCUAAUUCCGUGCCAGCAGCCGCGGUAAUACGGAAGGUCCAGGCGUUAUCCGGAUUUAUUGGGUUUAAAGGGAGCGCAGGCGGACCUUUAAGUCAGCUGUGAAAUACGGCGGCUCAACCGUCGAACUGCAGUUGAUACUGGAGGUCUUGAGUGCACACAGGGAUACUGGAAUUCAUGGUGUAGCGGUGAAAUGCUCAGAUAUCAUGAAGAACUCCGAUCGCGAAGGCAGGUAUCCGGGGUGCAACUGACGCUGAGGCUCGAAAGUGCGGGUAUCAAACAGGAUUAGAUACCCUGGUAGUCCGCACAGUAAACGAUGAAUACUCGCGAUUUGCGAUACACAGUAAGUCGCCAAGCGAAAGCGUUAAGUAUUCCACCUGGGGAGUACGCCGGCAACGGUGAAACUCAAAGGAAUUGACGGGGGCCCG
rnacentral:rRNA from 1 species